rnacentral:tRNA from 1 species
CAAGACGUAGCUAUAAUACCAAAGUUCUAAGCUUACAUCUGAGAGAUAUCUGUCACCUCUCAGAUCAUCUUGA